GAUGAACGCUGGCGGCGUGCCUAACACAUGCAAGUCGAGCGAUUCUCUUCGGAGAAGAGCGGCGGACGGGUGAGUAACGCGUGGGUAACCUGCCCUGUCCACACGGAUAACAUACCGAAAGGUAUGCUAAUACGAGAUAAUAUACUUUUAUCGCAUGGUAGACGUAUCAAAGCUUUUGCGGUACAGGAUGGACCCGCGUCUGAUUAGCUAGUUGGUAAGGUAAGGGAUUACCAAGGCGACGAUCAGUAGCCGACCUGAGCGGGUGAUCGGCAACCUAGGAACUGAGACACGGUCCAAACUCCUACGGGAGGCAGCAGUGGGGAAUAUUGCACAAUGGGCGAAAGCCUGAUGCAGCAACGCCGCGUGAGCGAUGAAGGCCUUCGGGUCAUAAAGCUCUGUCCUCAAGGAAGAUAAUGACGGUACUUGAGGAGGAAGCCCCGGCUAACUACGUGCCAGCCGCCGCCGUAA
rnacentral:rRNA from 1 species